AAAAAAAUCAAAAGUUUUCGAUAAUACUUUUUUGUUUUGGGGUAUUUUGAGGCUCAGAAGUGUAAAAUGAGGGGGCAAAAGAGACAAUGUACCCGCCAUGGCUGCAGACCCUCGGUUUGCACUACCAACAACAAAGUAGGCCUUACCCGGGUCGCCCCGCCAAGAUACGGGCCCCGCUCCACUUGCCCCAUUAUGAACUCUAGACAACACCUUAAUCAUCACAGCCUCUCACCAUUUACAAUAACAACAACAAUGUUAUUAUUAUUAAGAAGAAAAAGAAGCAAAAGGAUUAGAUCUUAAACCCUAAACCCUUCAACCUGCCUGCUUUUAUAUUAUAUAUAGAUAUGUAUGUGUGUAUAUGUUUCAGAAUAACAGCUUAAGCAAACAGAGCCUUAAGAUAAAUGGUGGUUUAUUGUUAUGAAAAAGGAAAUCAUCGGCGAAGAGAGAGGGGGCAACCACCAUUAAAGACUCCCCAAAUACCUCUCUCUUUGCCUCGUUCUUUCGGUCCAGAGUUCAUGAGAAAUUCUUUUCA